UACGAAGGGAGCUAGCGUUGUUCGGAAUCACUGGGCGUAAAGCGCACGUAGGCGGAUUUGCCAGUCAGGGGUGAAAUCCCGGGGCUCAACCUCGGAACUGCCAUUGAUACAGCAAGUCUUGAGUUCGAGAGAGGUGGGUGGAAUUCCUAGUGUAGAGGUGAAAUUCGUAGAUAUUAGGAAGAACACCGGUGGCGAAGGCGGCCCACUGGCUCGACACUGACGCUGAGGUGCGAAAGCGUGGGGAGCAAACAGG
rnacentral:rRNA from 1 species